UACGUAGGGUGCAAGCGUUAUCCGGAAUUAUUGGGCGUAAAGAGCUCGUAGGCGGUUUGUCGCGUCUGCCGUGAAAGUCCGGGGCUCAACUCCGGAUCUGCGGUGGGUACGGGCAGACUAGAGUGCAGUAGGGGAGACUGGAAUUCCUGGUGUAGCGGUGAAAUGCGCAGAUAUCGGGAGGAACACCUGUGGCGAAGGCAGCUCGCUGGGACGGUACUGACGCUGAGGCGCGAAAGCGUGGGGAGCAAACAGG
rnacentral:rRNA from 1 species